CAAACACACGGACCAGGCUGCCAGAUUCUUGAAAAAGAAAGAAAAAUGAGGGACAAGGAAGCUUUUUUUGUCGUUGUUGGGUUUUUUUUACAACAGAAUUACAGAAACAUUUGACGUCAUAUAAAAUAAAGGAGUUACGUCUUCUUCCUCCCUGAUUGGCCUUUCAACUUUUAUUGGUACCGGUUUUGCUUCACUGUGGAUUUUGUAAGUCUCUUACCAGCUUCAGCCAACAUUUUUACAAGAUGCAUGCUGGAGGAAGUGACAGAGCAUCCAGUGAAGGAAGGAGAAAAGUGCACCCUUAUUGUCCCAUUGUCAGUGUGGGAACAUAUCAUCCAGUUUCUUAUCUGGCAGAGCAGAGUCCGUUUCCUGCGACUGUCAAAGAAUGGGCAGCGAAGGGAGGAGAAAUCCUGUUUGUAAAUCACCCUACCGGGACGCUGCUGCCAGGGGACUCUGUUUACUUUGUUUUACUACCACUGUCUUAUCCUGUUGACAGGGCAGGGCAGCGGUGUGUAUCACUGAUGUAACAGUGCAGUCGGGAAAAAGAAGCACAUAAACACAUAUCAGGCCUCCAUCCUGUUCAGCCAGGUGCCAGUGUUCAAGAAGGCACAAAAGGAGAUUCACUUCACCUCCCAUGUCUGACGCCUCACCCCUUCGCUAUCAGCGUAAGAGGAAGCAGAAGGUCAGCGUGUUCGAGGUGACGGGAAGCAAGUCGGGGCUUAACACCGGUGGUCUCAGUCGAACAGGUCAUGCUGAACCUUUGAGAAAGAGAACGUUUACAAAUUACAUAAAUCUGUGAUGUGAAGAUGUUUAAUAUGCCCACACCUACAGCGUAUGCAAAUGAACGCCACGGCUCACGGCACAGCCGCUUGUGAUGCUCGUGGGUGAAAUACAUAAUAGAGCUCGUGCUGACUGCAUGUUUUAGGAAAACAUAGUUAGAGUUUCUACAAAUGAUGACUCGAAUUCAUUUACACAUCUUUUUUUCCCUUUUCAGUAAGGUUGGUUUUGUUGAUUUUAGCAUUUAUCACAUUGUCAUUGUUGACUGUUUACAGCAGCCAAAGUGAAGCAUUUCAUUCUUCAAGAGCUGCUUCUUCUGCUUUUAACACAUUAAAAUAAAAUGAAGAAGAACUUAAAACAUAUCAAUUACAGUAUAAACAAACAAUGGAUAUACUGGUACUGUAUAGGUUUUGAAAUGUUCAGUUAGGGGCCAAUAAAUGUAUAAGUGAAAUGUGAUA